GGAGGGAGGUAAGGUGUGGGGAACCUCAGUUCGGUGGCUGGGCAUGGGCGGUCGCCUUCGGACAAGUCUCGCGGUAGAUUCGGGUACCCUCAGCGGGUGCCUCCCGCCCUUCUGAACGCCCUCCCUCCUCUCCGCGGGGAGGAGGUCGAGGCCGGCCACAGGCUGAGCGCGCUUCGGGCUGGGUUCUCGACAGUGAAUCAGUUGAGGAGCACCUCGUAGUAGAUGUCCUUUCGGCCAGUUCGUCCCACGCUCCCCGACGUGUCAGUAGGUAAACUCAUCUUGUGACAAGUUUGGGGAAGGCUGUCGAGAGGCUUGGAGGAGCCGAGUUAGGGUAGUGACGUUUGAGCCGAGUUGUGGGAGCUGACCCGGAAUUUGGGAGAGGAUCUCUGGGGACAGCGUUUCAGGUCGUGGGAGGAGGACAGAAACUGACAGGUUUAGGCAGCUUUGCAUACAUAUUAGGGUAGUGGCUGGAGGAAUGAGCCCACAGAAGAGAGAAGGCAAGAAUAAUGUGGUUGAAACUAAAGUUGGUCCCCAGUUGGGAAGGGCUUUGAUGCCCUGUGAAGAAGUUCUGUGCAGUGGAAACCUGCAGCCGCUUUGUAGAGAGAAGGUAAUUAAUUAACCAUCUCGCUCCCGCGCCCUUUUUGGCGAGACCCCCACCCCCACCCCCCCAAAAAAUUAAGCUUUCAAGUCACUUGGAGAAGUGUAUACUGAAGCAUCCCUUUUGUGUGCUUAUAAUAGGAUGGACACUGCUAGGUGCGCUAAAUAAAGUUUUAUGUGGCUUUGCUGUGUGUCUGUGCGUUGCUAAUGGGGGAAUGUCGGGAAAGAUUGAGUGGACCUGUGAAAAUGUGGCCCUUAAGAGUCCAAAGAACUGCAUUCAAAUUUCAUCACCGUCACCAAGUUCUCAAGUUACUUGAAGCAAGCUACUUUUCUCUGAGACUCGUUUUUCUCAAAUAUAAAAAGAUGAUCCACUUGAUAUCUCAGAGUGUUUCUGCCUUUAAGGAUGGCAGAUUUCCAAUGAAUAAAAAUCAGUCUGUGAACAAAUAUCAGUGAGAAUAAAGUGGUUUAUUAAAAUUUGGGGAAAGAAGGAAGCCCAGAAAAAAAGGCUCUUGAGCUGAACUCUGAGGAAGAAUGAUUUGGUUUAAAUGAUUAGGAACCACACUAGGGAUAAAGCUAUAAACUCCGGGAAUAGCAUUCAUAUUUUAGAGUGUAUUAAUAGAAAUACAAGAUUUGGGAAGGAUGGCACUGAAUGAUGAAAGAACUCCAAAGUGGAAACUGCAGUGUUCUGAAGAGGAAGAAGAUGAUAAGCAUGAAAUAUCAAAAGAACACAGCAUUUGGGUUCAUGGAUCUAGAUGAUUGAUAUUUUGAACCCGUGUUUCUAAAAAGCGCGUCUAAGUACUAUUGACAAAAAUGGGAAUUCUGUCAAAUUCCAGCAUGCAAUAGUGUGUUGAGAGUAAGGGGAUUUGUAUUAUAAAUCUAAUGUUUCCCAUAAUUAACCUCUUGACUAUUAUUUAAUUCUUUUAGAUCCUACUCUCCUUUGUAAAGUGAUGUUGUUGGGCCAGGUCGUCUCUCUCCUGUAAAAAUUUGAGUCUGUGAGGAUGGAGAGCUACCUUCUGAAGGGAAAAAGGAAGAGAGUUGAUACAGAAUAAAAUCAUUUAACUUUGAAUGUUAAAUUUGAUGUGUAUGGUACAGAGUUGAAACAGGCAGAGAGAGUAAGUAGACUGGAUUUAAAAUAGUAAGUUUUCUCUUGGAUUUGGUAAUUAAAAGAGAGAUUGGAUUUGUGUUGAGGGAGAGGUUUUAGAGACAGGAACUAUAGGAACCCGUACAUAGGAGGCUAGAGAAAUCAUUGAAUGAGGCCUGUGGAUCUCAGAUCAAUGAGUAAGGAUUCCUGGGGCUGGGAUUGUGGCUCAAUAGUAGAGUGCUCGUCUAGUACCUGUGAGGCCCUAGGUUCAAUCCUCAGCACCACAUGGAAAUAAAUAAAGGUAGUAUGCCCGACUUCAACAACAACAACAAAAAAAGAGUAAGACUCCUUUUAAAAAAAAAGAAUUAUAUAUAAUUAUAGGUUCUAGGGAACCAACAUUGUUAUUGAAGUAAUUUACAAAUAGCAUUUACGGCAAAUAUUCUUCACCCACUUCUGGUAAACCCAGCAGAAAAUGAAUGAUUGAAAUAGGUAUUUACACUUGUAUUAUGAUUGUUUACCAAGAAGCUAUAUCAUUUACAUAUUUAUUCACUAAAUAUGUGUUUAAGGCACUGCUAGGCACUAGAGACAUGAUGAACAACUUAAACAUUGUUCUUAUUGUUCCUGUAUAUAAAGGUCUUAAUAUCUAGAUCAGUGAUUUUCAGAAAGCUUAAUGCACAUAUGAGUUGCCUGAAGAUUUUGUUAAAAAUUACAUUAUGAAUCUAAUUCUGAUGUUGGGGCUGAAAAUUCUCUAUAUCCAACAAGCACCAACUGAUAUUACUGAUCUAAGGAUCAUACUUGUAAAUGACAAGAGUCUAGAUCCUGUUUCCCAAAUGUGUCAGGUUAUUAAACCACUUAAUAUUAUCCAUCAUCAGUUUUAAAAUGAAAAAAAAAUAUUCAUUAUAAAAAGGAUACAUGCUCAUUAUAAAAUUAUUGGGAUAAUUUAGAAAAGCUCAAAGAACAAUGUAAAAAUCCCAAAUUCUCCCCAAGAAUAAACAUUGUUACUAUCGGUAAAUAUCCAUUCAGAUUUUAUAUGUGUAAAUAUAUUUACAUUUAAAGGUUUUACUGAGUACUUCACACACCUGGAACCCUGUGUUUAAUUCUGUUAACUUUGCAGUUUUACUAAUGUAAAUAUCCAAAUGUCUUCAACCAAGCGAUUCAGUACUUGCAUCUUGAGGGGAAGAAUUUACUUACCUAAAAAUAACUUGAUUUAACACCAUUCCCUUACUCCAAAUAUGGGAAAAUAUUAGAAUAAUUAAUAUUUUCAUUCACAUCCAGAGAAGUGAAAAAUUGUUCUCCAUUUGUGUACAAUGAAUCAAAGAGCAUUCUGCUGUCAUGUGUAACUGAUUAGAACAAAUAAAUUAAUUUUUAAAAAGAACAACAAUAUUUAGAGAAGAUUGGAGAGUAGCUAUGCUAGUGAGCCUUUUUUGGCUUCUGGGACAUCAGGAAAUUGUUGACUUGUCUUACCUCUGAAAUACAUCUUCAGAAUCAUUUUCUCUUUAUGCCUCCCAUCCUGUUACCUCAGCCUUCUAACCGUAAUUCCAUUAUCCUCUUCCCUUCGUGGUUCAACUUGUUUUAUUUUGCUGUCAGUUUUUCUGGCUUAUACUACACUGAGUAAGUUGGGACCUAGCAGCGAUGAGAUGUCCAGGCUAACACAUAAUUUUAUAACCUAAGUUAAAUGUCAAGGCAGGUCGGUGCUUGUCCAAGAGGCCCUGAUUUCAACAGAGGUGAUCCAGAGGUAGGAGUAGGAAGAAGUGGAAUUUUUAAAAAGCAGGGCGGAGUUGAUAAUCCUUCAAACAGACCCAACUCAGGCAGUUCUUAAAAAUGUGAGGGUCAGGACAUGUCUCAUGUCAAGGCCAAUGUCUUUCAUUCCGGUGCCUUCAAAAGAAUAAUAAUGUAAAAAGGCAAGUAGGAUGCUGAAAGAAUAUGCAGUACUGAUCUUGGCUAUAGAAAGAGUCAUCUGAAAACAAUUUUGAACUUCUCAUUCUAUAUAUUUUCCAUCACAUUUGUGGAUGACUUUUAUCUACUACCAAUUUUUUCCCAACAUUUUUUUGUGUCUUAGCACACAGUAAAGUUGAUAAUAAAAGAUUAAAAGAAGGUGUUUGUUCUUAGAUGAAGGUGGCCAGUCUUGGGUUCUAGCUGUCUCAGGCCUAAAGAUUGAGAGGAAUGAUAGCUCUGAUACCCAUUAUCCAUCCAUGGUUUAGCUGGGAAGAUCUACCCAUUUCUUCUUCAUUUUUAGAUUUCUGUUUAUGUAAGAGUAAUUGUGUGCUGUAAUAUACUAUACUUAUAUUAACCUUCUCAUAUUUACAUUAGAACUUCAAGAUACUUGGACUGCUUAAACCUCUUAACUAAGCAUCCCAUCAACUUUGUUUUUUUUUCCUACAAACAUUUACCAUCAUUUUUCCUUCAUUUUCUCUCAUCUUGAUUUAUUAUCUCUGUAAUACUUCUUUUUUUUUUUCCCAUUGACACAAUAUACAUCUUCUUUAGGAAACUUAAGUAUAUUUUCUUACAGUUAUUGCACUCUCUGCUUCCUGGCUGCCAUGAGCACAGUGGCCUCCUCUGCCAUGUUUGUGCACCAUAAUGUCUGCCUUACUUCAGGCCUAAAGCCAUGAAGUUGGCUAACCAUGUACUGAGUGAGAGCUGUGCAACUGUGAGCCCAAAAUAAACUUUUUCUCCUCUGAGUUGUUCUUGUCUGGUAUUUUGGUCACAGAGAUGAAAGGCUAACACAGUAACUAGUACCAAGAAGUUGGGUCCUUCCUGUGACAUACCUCACCAUAUGAUUCUGAAACCCUUAAAACUGAUUUGCCAGAGGAUUUUGGAAAAGUUUGGAGAUACAGGUGGAGAAGCCUUAGAGUGUUGUAAGCAGAACUUAAUGGCUGAUUUUGAUUGGAGCCCAGAAGAACACAAUGCCUGUAGAAAUGUGGACUGGGAAAACUAUGCUCAUGAGGUUUCAGAUGGGAACAGGGACUUCAAAGGGAAUUAGUGUAGAGGCCACACAUUAUAUUCUGAUGCAGAAUUUGUCUACAUUUUGUCCAUAUCCUGAGACUUUCUGUCGACUGAAUUUUAAGAUGAUGGACUAAUUAACCUGGUGUAGGAAAUUUCAAGGUGGCAAGAUCAAGGGUGUAAAGGUGAAAACUCAUUUAAGGAGCAACCAUUGGGGCACCCUGCUUGCCCAGCCAAUGAAGCCCAGGAAGUUGCUUCCCCAGUGUUUUGUUUCAUCAUGCUCAGCUGUCUAGGUACUUGGGCUGAUGCAGCCAUGGUCUAAGGGGGCCCAGCUGCUGCUCACACUGGCAGAAGACUUUAGCAUUGUCCAACAUGUUGUUGGUCUCCAGGAAAGCAUGAUGCAGGAGUUAAUUAAUGGUCAUGGAGGCUUCCACUGAGAUUUUGUAAUAAGGUGUUGGGAGGCUAUGCAAAGUGUAGCAGGGUCAGAAUCUUUUCAAGCAACCCAUGAGAGAGCAGUGUGGGAUUAAAAGAUGCCAAUAAUGUGAAAUGUCUCCUGAGGAAAGCUGCUGGCUGCAGACACAGCUGGCCUAAGAGGCCAUGUGUGCAGCAACCCUCCAGGCCAAAGGGGCAGGGCUGCCCCAAGUCCUUUGGAGAUCAGUCUUCCCACCAUGUGCCCCAGAUGCUGUAUGUGGAGAUGGCAGGACUUGUUUUCCCAGCUGUGUUUCGAUCUUGCCUUGCUCCCAUUCCUUCUUUCUAUGCCCCUAUUCCUCCCUUUUGGAAUAGGAGUGUUUACUCUGUAUCAUUGUGUAUUGAAUAUAUGUAAUUUGUUUUUGAUUUCUACAGGGCUUCACAGUGGAGAGUUUGCUUUGAGUUUCAGAAGAGACUUUAAAUUUGAACUUUUGAACAAUGCUGAAACUGUUGGAGAUGUACUGAAUGUGUUUUGCACUGUGAGAUGGACACGAGCUUUGGGGGGCCAGGGACCGAAUGUUAUGGUUUGGAUCUAAAAUGUUCCCCAAAAAGCUCAUGUUUUGAAAGCACAAUCCAUAUGCUUUCUAAGGUUAAGAAAUAGGACUUUUAGGUAAUGAUGAAAGCUAUGGCCUCAUUAGUAGAUUAAUCCACUUAAUGGAUUAAUAAUUUGAAUGGACUACUGGGUGGUACCUGUAGACAGGUGAAGUAUGACUGAAGGAAGUAAGGCCCUGGGGGUGUGCCCUUGGAGAUUAUGUCUUGUGUCUAUCUAUCCUCCCCUCACUCUUCCCAAACUGUCUGCUUUCUAGCUGCCAUGAGCUGAGAAGCUUUCCUCUACCAGGCCCUUCCACCAUGAUUUUCUGCCUCACUUCAAACCCAGAGCCAUGAAGCCAGCUGAUCAUUGACUGAGACCUCUUAAACUGUGAGCCCCAAAUCAACUUCCUCCUCUAAAAAGAAAAUGCAUUAUCUACUAGUGUUUUUACUGUGAUGGAAUUUGUACACCAAUAAUAUUUUUACUUAGGUUCCAUGCCAUAUCUUUUUAUGUGACUUUUUAAUAUUUAUUGUUUGAUAAUUGGAGCCAUAUAUGGCUUUAAACUCUAAAAAAUUAUUUUUUUAUAUUUCAUAUUAUGUUUUAUGGUAAACUUCCUGCAGGACAGAGACCUUUUAUGUAAAUAGUUUUAAUGUUCUUGAACAUUGGGUAGUAUAUUAUAGUAUACUUAUAUACCUACUAUUACUUGAUAUUAAUUCAGUCAGUUUUAGGUUUAUGAGGGAAAUGAGUAGUGUACACCAAUUACUGGGAUUCAAAAUAUAAAUCAGUAAAAGCCUUAAAGUUAGUUGCCUUUCCUUAUGUGUCCAUAGUGACUUGUACUCCAGCAUAGCAAUUGCACUAUAUUAUUAUUGCCUUUUAUUAUUUUAUUAUUAUAGUUUAUCUAUGAUUGAGUCUAUUCAAACUAGAGUAGUGGUUUUUAGUAGAUGUAGUGAUGAUAAGGCAUGGGUCUUGCACAUUUUGGAAAACCUUCCCAUCCUCUUCUUUAGGUGCAUCACAUCCUCCACCACCAUCACUGCUGUCAUUGUUCUUUGGGAAAGCUCCCAUACUCAUUUCUAAACUCUUAGAAAUUGGGGAAGUGUAUCAUAUUUAUCAUUUGAUUUCUAGUGUUUACCAUUAUUUGGCAUUGAGCUUCGAAUUUUGAUAAUUGAGCUUAGGAGAAUGUAAGCGAUGACACAAUCUGAAUACCACUAGGAAUCAGCAUAUAAUACAUUGAUGUAUAAUUUAAAAUAGGCACAAGAAACUGAAUUGAAAUCUUGAAGUAUAUUCUCCUUGUUAUCCUGUAAACAGUCUUUAUCAGAGUAUUUAAUGAUUUUAUUUUAGCAGGUUUUAGGUGACAGCAGAAAAUAACACCAUCAUCAACUUUGCUGCAUGUUGAUAGUUUUCACAGUUUUAGGAAAGGAAUACCAUGAUUUAUCCACUUGUCUAUGCUUACAUACAUUAUCUGUAGAUGAGGUAGAUAAUUUACAUUACUGCUGAUAGCUAUCAUUUCUGUUAGGUAGUUUGCUGAUCUUAUGUAAUUUCUUAAGAGUAUUGGUUUUACCUAGGCUUCAGCUUUAUAAGCUCAUUUACAUGUUUUAAAACUUCAAACCAAGACUUCUGCUUUUAAGAUAACAGAAUAAAGACAUUUGUGCCCUCUUCUAUCUGAAAUUCCACUGAAAUAACAGAAAAUGAGAGAUAGAGAUGUAAUUACAUUUUCCCUGAGACUAGAAGACUUGUAACCCCAAAUCUAAAUAUUUGGGAAAUGACUGCCAAGUGUAAGCAGGAAUAUGUUAAAGAGGAUCCUUGUAGAAAGCAGUCUUAGAGCUGGAGGAACACAGAGGGAAAGGUUGUUUACAGUGGGAUCUGGAUACUUAGGAAAGCUCUGGGAACCUCCUCGUACUGCUUGGCAAAAUGAACCAGCAAGCAAGAAAAAAAAAAAAAAAAUGAGAUGGCACACAAAUACACUGUCUUUGCAGAUGACACUCUUGCUGAGGCAAAAGAGAGAUUGUGAGUGGCCUUUUGCUACCUGUUUCUGACACUUGGAGAUAGUAAUAUGUAAACACCUUUCUCUCGCUUAUUCUCACACACUCUCUCUUUUUUCACAUUCACUUAUACAAAACAUUUUGUCAGAAAGAGCUUUACUGAAUGCCAGAGAGUACCUCUAGUCUAGAACACAGUUGUUUCUUCCUUUCACAGUACUCCUGCAAAUAACUAAUCCGGAGGGAACUCAAGUCAUUCAAAGAUAAAUAAUAAUAAAAAGGAAAUGAGCACAGUACACAAAAAUCCUACAAGAAAAGAAACAAAGGAAAAACAAAUGAUAGUGAACCCAUGAGAAAACUGUACUGGCCUUAAAGAAAUUACUAGAAUAAGUUUAUCCUUUAAAUAAACACCAAAGUUAAUUGGCUCAAGAGCUAGAAAGAAAUUGUAAGACAACAGCAUAUAAUGAAACAUAGUUUGGCAGAGCUUAGGAAAGAAAGACAAAAUCUGAAACUUUGGAGGAAAAUGGAAAACUAAGAAAAAGAUAUGAUGACAGACUUCUAAAAAUUGAGCAAAAGUUAAUGAGAAUGAAAAGAGAUAAACAAAUGCUUAAUUGGGGUUCUUGAAAUAGAGAAUUAAAAACUGUUUGAACAUAUAACUUAAGAAAAAUUUCCACAGUUAUCUUUACUUAACAGAUUGAAAGGACACAUAAAGAUUAAGAGGAAACUAAUAUACAUAUCAUUACAUAAUCUAGCUUAACAAAAAUUGAAUUUCAUAGGUAAGGAAUGCAUCCUUUGCUUGUCUCAUUAAUGAAUUAGAUUAACUAUAAGUGGUGUUGGGGAAUCAGAUAUUUUCAAGGGACUAUUUAGCAUUACAGGAUAAUGUAAUAGCCUAUAAGUUAUCAGGGAGAUAAAGUGUGACCUCAAACCCAGACUGUCAAACUAUUGACAGUUAUUUUUGAACAAUGCAAAAACUCAACAUUAGUGGAAACUGUAAUAAGUUCUUCUUGAUAAAUUGCCAAAAGAUGAAUAUCAGUCAUCCAUAAAAGAACAGAGAUAAUACAGCAAUAGGACUGACGGGGGACAUUAUAGGAAUAAAAACAAAAUGAGAUUUGUAGUUAUGGAAUAGUGUAGAACUAUUACAAAGUAGAAGUAACUAGUAAAAGUCAGGAUUGAAAAAGGAUAGAAGGCAGAAGGUGGUAUAAACUUGCCAAUGUUUUAUUUGUUAGGUAGAGAACAAAAGACAUAUAAAACUUAGACAUCAAGUAAUAAAGGUAUUAGCGUAUUUAUAGGAAUAAAGUAGAUUAUCUAGGGGGCUAGGGUUGUGGCUCAGUGGUAGAGUGCUCAUAUAGCAUACAUGAGGCACUGGGUUCUAUCCUUAGCACCACAUGAAUGUAAAAUAAAGAUAUUGUGUCCACCUAAAACAAUCUAAACAGCAUAUAUUUAAUCAAAAGCAAAUAUUGGAGAAAAGGUAGAAGCAUAGUUAUACUAAAUUUCUUAUCUUAAAUAAUCAGAGAUGGCAUCCAAGAUGAAAAAACAAAAUUAUUUAUAAUGGUAUUCAUUACAUUUGCAAAAAACUGAGAACAUACAUGGGACAUUUAUAAAAACUGAUCACAUCCUAGAUUCCAUACUCUUGAAAAUCUUUAAAAAACUAUGGAGAGCUAUCAUACAUGUGUGUCUUGACCAGAAAUUUUCUCAGUUUCUUCUGUGGUAAUGGUUUUCAAUAUUGUCGGCAGCAUCCAUAUCAUCUAGGAACUUGUCAGAGUGCUCUUUCAGAGGUUCCAUACCAAAUCUGCUGGAUCAGAAACUUUGGAGAAGCCCUCCCCAAAAUCCCUGUUGGUCAGACUGUUCUGUGAAACUUUAGAUAAACUAUCUAUGCUGUUGCUGAUUGUUACAGGUAAAAAUAAUUAAAACACAGGCUUUUGUCUCUUCAGAAAUACAUUUUUAUUCACAGAAAACAAGAUUAUCUUCCUAUCCAAAAAGAUGAAAACCUGGCUACAUUUGAAAGACAACCAAGUGAACACCACAGACUAAUGAGUAGAAUCAAUAAGAACGUGAUUUUGGCCCUUUUAACAUUGACAAGUUCAGCAUUUCUGCUAUUUCAGUUGUACUACUACAAGCAUUAUUUAUCAGCAAAGGUAAUUUUUUCUUUUUUAUCUUUAGACUUCCCUUUAGCUGUAUAGUUUCUUAACAUAUUUCUCUUUUGCAGUACAUAAAUUAAUCACAGUCUUUUAAUUUUUAUAGAAACAUUUCUUACUGAGAGUCUCAUAUUUUACAGUUAAAUGUUUCCAUAAUUACACACUGAAGUCAAAAGUGCCAAGUUUCAGGGCUGGGGUUGUGGCUCAGCAGUAGAGCACUUGCCUAGCAUGUGCGAGGCAUUGGAUUUAAUCCUCAGCACCACAUAAAAAUAAACAAAUAAAAUAAAGGUAUUGUGCCCAAAUACAACUAAAAAAUAAAUAUUAAAAAAGUGCCAAGUUUCAGUGAUGUUUAUUGCAGUUUUCUGAUAUAGUCAUAUAAAAAUUAUCUGCUACAAAGAGUAUUUCAGUUAAGAAAUUUGGUGACAAUUGUAUACAAUAUCAAAAUUAUUUUACUGUAGUAUACGUUUUAAUUUAGAAUCUACCGGGAAAGAGUAAUAAUCUAAGUUGCCUUUGUCUAUAUCUAUAGAAAUAAAGAAGUAGAGAUAAUGUUUGGAAACUAAUAGAUUCUUCCAGUAGUAGUGAAUGCCUGCAGUACCACUGUGUUGAGAAGGACUACAGUACUCUUCAAUGUCUUUAGGAAAGAUUAUACUAAUACCUAUUACUGGUUAAGGAAGAAAGAGGUAUUUACUAUCUUAGAGUUAAGGAGACCUACUUCUGUCUAUUUCAGGGCCUGACCACAGAAUCCUUUUGUCUCUAGCUGGUCAAACAAGGUUAGCUUUUCUGUGACCCACUAAAUGAGGUCUGAGGUCUGAAUAAUUUAGUUUUCUAAUAACAUUAAAAAUGAGAAACAAGUAUAUCUAUUGGGUCUGCUAAAAUUCUGUAGAUAAGUAGAAUAACCCUCUGAAGUACACACUGUUGUAGUAUGGUAGCCUUGUGAGCAUGUUCUAUGGGCUCCAACUUUCAAGUACAGAUUUACAAUGAGUUUAUGUCUUGAUAAACCCAUUAUGAGUUGAAAAUAUUAUAAGUCAAAAAUGCAUUUUAAUAUGCCUAAUUACUGAAUAUUAUAGCACAGUAUACAAUAGACUAUCAGUUGUAUAUCUUUGUGAUCACUUGGCUGAUGGCAACUGUAGUACUACAUCUUGCUAGCCUAGGAAAAGAUCAAAAUUCAAAGUAAUUUCUACAAAAUGUUUAUCACUUCACACCAUCAGAAAGUCAAAAUAUUGUGAAUCAAACCAUCAUAAGUUGAGGUUCUUUGUAUUUGGCUUACAUUGCACACCAAAAAGGCAAAGAGAUAUCUUUAGGACUGUCUAGGAUAUGAUUAAAUUGUUCAUUGAUUUUUUAGUGCACCUAAUUUUGUGUGCUUAUUCAGACUGUAUUUAUUAAUCAGUUGUUAUACACAGGGUAUUUAGCAAGAACACAGAGAUAUGUAGAACAGAGUUCAAGAGACCUGUAGUUUGAUAAAUGUAGCAAGAGCAAUAAUUCUUGAUUUGGGCAAUUAGAAAGAUAGUUCUGGGGUUUAGAGAGUUCAAAUCCCUCAUUCAUUGACAAAUCACUUAACCUCUUUGAGCCUCAGUUUCUUUAAGUAUGGCUAAUAGUAACUUUCAGGUUGAGGUAUGUGGUACAUAUAACUUAGGUUUUGAUGUAUGGUAGAGGCUCAGAAGAUGAUAAGUAUUAAUAGCUUAUGUUUUCUAGUCCUUUUAAGCUUUAAUUACAGUUUGAUAAAUUGAAUUGAGUUCAAUUGUUACAGUGUUCUUAACAAGCCUCCAUUUAUCACUUUUUCAUAAAUGAGUGAAAUAGGUUCCAGGUAUAUUAAGUUUCUUCUCAUAAGAUUGAUAAGAUAUCCAUAAUUACCCUAGGUACAUGUAUGAUUGCACACAUGGUGUGGCGCUACAUCUACAUGUACAACCAUAGAAAUGUAAAGCUGUGCUGCAGUUGGGUACAGUGAAUCAGAGUUCAUUCUGCUGUCAUAUACCUAAUUAAAAUUAGUUAAUUAAUUAAUUUAAAAAGAUUGAUAAGAUAUGAAAAGAGAUGACUUUAAGGAUUGCUGAAGCACAACAGAAAAUGAUAAAAUAUUAAUGCUUAGGUGGAAGCAAUGUUUGUGUAAAACUCCAGUAAUCCCAACCUUAUGUUGUUCUUGACUUAGUCAAGAUAAACCACACUGGUGCCUUCAGUAAUCAGCUGUUUUUACUACUUAGGAGGCCCACUUACAGGGUGGUGUGCUAGGAUAUCUUUGUGUUAUAUUUUGUAACCUAUGUGUGUUUGGCUAGAAGGAAGGAAGAGAGAGAUGGAAGAGGAGUUUGGAUUUCAAGUUUGUGAGUAAUCAUUCACAGAAAACAAUUUUGUAUGCCAUCAUUAGAAAUGGAAAUUGAUCUUGUAGCUAUUUAUAUCAUGUGCAAGAAACCUGGAAUUUUAAAAAAUUUUUGGAAUUUUUUUAGUUAAUCAGUUACUUAUUAAAAUUAAGAAACAUGAUUUUCCCUUCAUCUUUGUUGUCUUGUUCCACUUUGCUCUGAAGAAUAAUAAUAGGUCGUUUCUGGAGAAAGAAUAUUAUGUUUGAUAGUCGAAUUUAAUAUGGCAAACUUAUGAUAAGUACUACUUCCCUUCUUCUCCAACCCUUCCCACUUUUUCAGUAUCCAGGAGAAAUGUGAAAGAAUUUCUAAAUUAAUUAGAAUUAUUAAUAAUUAAUUUAACAAUUAGAAUUAAAGGGUAUUUUUAAAAUUUUUUCUACUUAUUCUCAGACUUUCAACUAUUUUUAAGUUGUCUGACCAAACAGUUUCAAUUAGUAAAUGUAGCUUUCUCACCAUUACAAAUUACAUUUAUGACUUCAGUCCACUAAAAACUUCAGUGGCUCAGAAGUAAGUAGAAGAAUGAUGUUUCUACUGUAAGGAAAGGCACUGACAGGCAGAGUGGAAGGCUACUUGGAGGCUAUCAUGUUGAAUUCACCAUAGUUAGUGUUUCUUAUCCUAGAUUUGAGAGUUUAUGAACAACUGAAAAAACUCAGUUAUUGAAGAUUUUAGUGUUUUUUUUUAAGUAUUGGCAUUUGAUUCUAUAUGGGCAUAUUUAAAGAUAAUGCAAAUUAAGGAAUUGGAAUUUUGAUUCCUUUAAGAAACUGCAUGUUGAACUCUGCCUUCAAAAAUAACAGGAUUAGGGCUGGGGAUAUAACUCAGUUGGUAGAGUACUUGCCUUGCAGUCACAAGGCCCUGGGGUUCUAAUCCCCAGUACCACAAAAAAAAAUAAAACAAACAAACAAACAAAACAAAAACAGUAUUUUUUCUUCUUAUAUGAAAAAUAUUUAUUUGACUCAUUUCCUUCAUGACAAAUAUUUAUUGAUUCAGUUAUCAGUGGAAUUCUAUAGUCACCAAAUUUUUUUCUUCCAGUCUUUAUUGGCAUCUGAUUUUUUUUCUUUCCCUUAAAUUUCACUAUAAAUCCCAUAAAAAAUGUUUUAGAAUAUAUUUAGGCUUUUUAAAAAAACCCUUAUUGACUCUAACUAUAUGACAUACUUUUAAUUUUUUCAGAACAUUCAGUCAUUUGUCAAAUAUUUGUUGAAAGCUUACUGUGGCUCAAACAUAGUACUAGGCUAUGAAAUAAAAUGACAAAUACAAUUUAAUCCUUGCCUUCUAGGAACUCACAAAUUGGGGAAAUUUGGUGUUAUAGUUUGUAUCUAAAAAUGUCCCCCCAAAAGUUCAUGUGUUAGGCAAUGCAGUAAUGUUCAGAGGCAAAAAGAUUGGAUUAUAAGAGCUGUAACCUCAUCAGUGGAUUAAUCCAUUGAUGGCUUAAUAAUUUGGACUGCUAGGUGGUAACUGGUCAGGGGGGCAUAGCUGCAGGAAGUAGGUCACUGGGGGCAUAGUAUUGGAUUGUAUGUUCAUGGUCCCUUUCUUCUUCUUCCCUUCCUUUCUCUUUGCUGUCUCUGUUUCCCAGCUUCCAUAAGCUGAGCAUCUUUACUCUGCUAUGCCUUCCACCAUGAUGUUCUGUCUCACCUCAAGUUCACAGCAAUGGAGUUGGUUCAUGGAUGAAAGAAUGUUUUUGAGUUGUCCUUAUAGGAAUGAGUAGGAGUUCUCCAGGUGAACUGGAGGAUGAGAACUCCAUUACAAAUAAAAGAAACAGUCUAUUCAAAGAGAAUGAGCUAUAUGGAUGUCUAGAGGAGUAGCAUACCAAGUAGAAAUCAAAGGAAGUGCAAAGGUUCUGAGGCAGGAAUAAACAGGGAGUUCUGAGAACAGCAUAGAGAUUAAUGUGACUGUAGAAGAGUGAGAGAUGGGGAGAAUAAUGAGUAAGGCUACAAAAUUCCAUGUUGUUGUAGGUCUAAACCAUUAAAAGGACUUUGGUUGGGUCUUAUUCUUAGUAAGAUUGUGAAUCAUAGAAAGGUUUUGAGUUGUUACAUGACAUGAUCUGAUUUUUACUUUAAAACAAAUAAUCUGGCUGCUCUGUUGGAAAUGAAAUAUAGGAAUAAAGGCUGAAACAGAUAAAAGACUAUUAUUAUUUACGUAAGAGAUGAUAAUGGCUUGGACUUGGAAGUUGGUGAGAAAUGGAAAACAGAGCUGUAAGGAUUUAUUAAUGGGUUAGAUGUGGGGUAUGAAAGACAGAAUAGGAUCAGGAAUAACUAGUAUUUUUGGCCUAGGUAAUUGGAAGGGGAAAAUUGCUGUUUACUGAGAUAAGAAAGACACAGAAGAGCAAGUUUGAGGGAUGGUAAAAAUCAUUUUUGUGUGUGUGUUUUCUUUUGUUGGUACAUUGUACCUUUGAGGUAGCUAUUCAAAUGAAGAAGGUGAAUAGACAACUGGGUAUAUUAAGUCUGAAGUUCAAAGGGAUAGUAUGAGCUGGGAGUUGUAAGCAGAUAGAUGGUAUUUAAAACCAUAGACUAGAUGAGAUACCAAGGAAGUGAAUAUAGAUUUAAGAGAGAGAAAGAAAGCACAAGAAAAAAAGCAAGUUUCAAGAUCUGAGCUCAGAGACCCUUCAGCAGCAUGUCAGAGGUGGAAUGAACUAGCUAGCGAUACUAAGAAAGAGUAGCCAGACAGAAAUAGUAGAAGACUGGAAGCAUGGGGAUUCUGAGAGCCAAGUGAAUGAAAUAUUUCAAUGAGGCAGAAGUUGUUCAACAAUUCUUAGUAGGUCAAAUAAGACAAGGACUAAUAAUUCAUCAUUGGAUUUAGCAAUGUGGAGGUUAUUGGUAUUCUUGAUGAAUGCUUACUGAGUGAAUUUAAGCUCAAGUGAGUUCAUAGGAGAAUUGUGGGCAAUGAGCAUAGACAACCCAUUAGGAGUUCUCUUGGUAGGAGAGUAAGAAAAAUGGUAGGAAAGAGACACCAAGAGGUUUUUGUCUUAAUUUUUUUUUUUUUAAGAUAGGAGAAACAAUGUCAUGUUGUAUGCUGAUGGAAAUGAUCCAGCAGAGAAAGAAAAAUUGCUGAAGCAAUUUCUUUGGCCAGGCGAGAGGGAUAAGAUAUGUAAAUGGAGAGUUUGGCCUUUAAUAGGAAUGUAGGCAGCUCAUCUGUCAGGAGAGGAGGAAAGGUAGACUGUAGGGAUAUAAUUUGAUUAGGUAGUUGAGAUGCGGUAGGAGCUCUUGAAGGUUCUUCUCUAAUUUUUUCCCUCCCCCACAUCCCGGGAAAUAGAAAAGCAAUGCCAUAAGUUGAAGGAUAGAUAGGUAGGGGGUGUUGGAAAGAGAAAAAAGCAGAAAAAGUCAUCUAGGAGAAUGAGAGUUAAUACACAAGGGAAAUGUAGGAUGAUUGCUGGGCAGAAUUAAGUUCCUAUUUGAAGCUGGUAGUCAUGAAUCUAAAGUGACACCAGUGAGCAGCCAUGUUUAGCUGCACAGUUGCAUGUGUACAAAAAGUGGAGAGUGGAUUUUUGCUAAGCAUAUAAAAUGAAGUAAAAUAGAGGCAGAUUGUGAGUAUACAAAUAGGGAAUGAUAUAAAACGUGAAUGUUUGUGCUGGUAUUAUUCAUAGUAGCUAAAUUAUCUAAAUAUUCAUCAAACAAUGAAUACAAUAGAAUAUUACUCAGCUAUGGGGGAAAAUAAUUAAAUACUGAUGCAUGCUAUAGCAUAGAUGAACUGUUACAUUAUGCAAAUUGAAAAAAGUCAGAUGCAAAGAGCCACAUAUUAUAACUGCAUUUUAAUGAAAUGUUCACUUGAGGCAAAUCCACAGAGAAAAAAAUGUAUAAACAUUAUAGUUAGGGCUGAGUGGAGGAAGGUUGGGGAGUGAUAUCUAAUAGGUUUUAUUUGGGACAUAAUGAAAAUAUUGUAUAUAGUGGUGAUAGUUGCAGAACUCUGUAAAUAUACUAAAAAUUACUGAAUUCUACACUUUAAAAAGGUGGCUUUUAUGGUAAUGUGAUCUAUUUCUCAUUGAGAGUGAACUAGUAGACUAUCCCAAAUGCCACAAGUUAAACAGCUUAGAAAUUCAGUCUUGCCUACUAAUAUAAGACUGUGGUGAGCAACAAAUGACUAUAUUGCAGAGUUCACAGUCUUUUUUCAGUACUAAAGAUUACAAAGAUGUGUCUUUAUUGCUUUUUCUCAAACAUCUACAUGUAUUAAAAUGUUAUUGCCUAAACUGCAGAGCUUGUUAGGAGAGACUCUGGCUAUACCUUAAUUUCUCAUUAUAUCUCAGUAUAUUUCUUAGUAAUUCCUCAUCCCUCUCUCCAGUUAAUAGACUCUUAUUAAUCCAGUGGAUCCCAAAUGUCAAUUCCUUAUAGGAUGAUGGGAUAUAAUGGAUUAAGCAUUUACUAUUUACCAAGCCCUGUGCUAGGUAGUGGUGGUACAGAAAUGGAAUAGACUUGUAUCCUGCCCUCGAGUGUGUGGUUAGUGGGAAGGUGAGUUUCCAUUUUUUUUAACUCACAUUUUUCUUCAGCAUCCUACCAUUUUUAGCUUGCAGGUAAACAACACAUUAAAGAUAUAAAAACCUUCUUGGAUCUUCUUUGAGCUUAAAACAUUCUUCUUCUUGUGUAUUCCAUCAAAUGUUCACUUUCCUGUUCCUUUGAAAGUAUUUUGGAGCUUAUCAGAGGUCUGAUUCUCUGGACCUAAAUAUUUUUAAAAACAUUUUUUAAAAAUAACUCAACAUUUUAAAUUAUGAUGUGUCUUAGCUUUCUAUCUGUAAACCAAAAAUAAAAAUGUUUGCUUUGUAGAAUCAUUGUGAGAGAUAGGAAAAAGUAUAUAGUUUAUAUGUAGAUGUAUCAAAUAUAGUACCUGACAUUUAGGAGCUGCUCAAUAAAUUUACUUACUCUUUGCCAGGAACUACAAAUACUAAUUCAGUAUAUGGAGAUAAGCUGAGGUUAGGAAUAUGUAGCUAACUUGACCAACUGUAAUUCCAGAGAGAUAGCAGAGAAUUUGUUGUUUAUUUGUUGACAUUGAUUAGUUUAGAGAUUUGGGCAACAUAUACUUAGUUAACUACUGUAUUCUGUUGAUGUUUUACAUCUUAGGUAGCUGUAUUAUAAAAUAAUAGCAUUCUUAGCUUCUGACUACAUGAAAAUAAGUAUUUGGGUGAUGCCUUCUAAUGACUAUGAGCUAAUAUGCAGUUUGACUCUUAUACUCACCCUAAAUGUAAUGGUGCAUGCUGGACUUUGAAUUUAUUUCAGUAUUCUUUUGUUAUCCUCCUAGAAUGGAAUUGGUUUGUCAAAAUCCAAAGGCAGCAAAAUCGGAUUUGAUAGCACACAAUGGGUAUGUACAAUAAAAUUCCUCACUUACAAUGUACAUUUAGUUCAUUUGUUUGUGUACUCAAUUUUAAGUAUUUGUUUGAUGAAUACAAUGACUACCUUGGGGAUGGAGGAGGUAGUGGCCAGGAAGGAGUGAGCCCUAUACCAAGUACUUAGAGUAUCUUAUUUAGUCCUUAUAGACACCUUAACCAAGUCAAUAUAUACUGUUAUUUUUGAUUUACCUUAGAGAGAUUCAAGUUAGUUGGCUAAUAAGUGAUUGAGUCUAGAUUCUAACUUCCUGCCUCUAGAACUCUCAUUCAUUGAGCUGUGCUGCUUCGCCGAAUGAAUGAAUAUGUUUCAGAACUUAACUAUGAAUAAUGAAAAAAUUAGUGAUCAGGAAUAAAAAUUUAUUCAGCAUGUUUCCUUUAUGAGAUAAGUGAAACUAGUCUUACACAUUUCCAGAUCCUGCAUAUUUAUAAGUUUAUUUUCUUACCUUCUAUUCUAACUAAACUUAGAAUGAAAAACAAUGUUGGGUAACUAAUAAAAAAUCACAGUUCUCUUGUUUGUAUACAUUGUGGAAAAUGACCAGAUAUAUCUUGUGGAGACAGUUUGUAACCACAGAUGUGGAAGGCUUUAGAUUAGAAUUUUCAAGUAACCAAGUUUUAUUUUAAGUCAUUGCUGAUACCAACUAGAUUUGAACUACUGUUUUAAAAGUGAAGUCUGGGACAUCCUACUAGCAGAUGUCUUAGUUAUCUAAUCUAGAAAUAUAAAUGUGAACUUUAAAUUUAUUAAAGAUAGCAAAUGUUUUGCUUUGUGUAUUUAGGAUCAUCUUAGGGAAAAGGGACUCAUGAUGUUCUUAGUAUUUAUAUUACCAAGUCUCAAUUAUAAAGAUUCUCAAUUAAGUAAAAAGGGAUACUUUGCACACUUCUUUCUAGCACUUCUCUACCUUCAUCGCACUCUUAAGAAACACAGAUAUAUACUACAUACAUAAAUACAUACCUACAGCUGGAAUAUGCCUGUGGUCUGAAGGCAAUGGAAUGGUCUAUCAUAAAUGUUAACAUUCUGUGAUGUGAAGAUAUAGUAAUAAAAAUUUUCCAAGUUUGCUGUUAUUGAAAGUCUUCAUAUGUACACUGAAAGAACAUGUUUAGGAAAAAUUUAAAGCUAUAACGGCUUCAGUGGGAUAGAAGAUUUUACUUUGUAUUGACUGAGUGACAACUCUCUAACAAUAUCCUCAUACCUUUUAAUGGAGUAAGGUAUGGUGACCCCAUCCUUUUAGUUGGAGAAUGAUCCAUGAGUUGGGAAGAAUAGCAGAUUUUUUUAAAGGUUUACUUUCAAGGUAGGUAAGCAAAAAAUUAAAGAGCAGCUUACCACAUUAAGGAAAUUCUCUUUGUAUUGUAACUUAAUUACAUUUCAGGGUACUAAAAAAAAUUGUGAAUGUGGUCACUGAAUUAUUACAAUAUUUGCAAAAUCACAGGAAACGGAAAAGUAUUAAAAUGCCUUUGUCCUAUUUUUUUGGAAGAAAUAAAAAGUGAAAACUGACUAAUACUGUGAUAUUGAGUCCUGAUAAAAUUCUAGAAUGAAUUAUUAAGCAGAUGACUUGACAGGCUUAGGAAAGAAAAAGUGAUAAUUAGGAAUCCGGCUUUUGCUAAGAACAAGUUGUGUGCUGAAAAUAUAGCUCAGUAGUAGAGAGAGCUUGCCUAAGAACAAGUCCCAUCAAGUUCUUGUAGGUUCUGAUAAAAAUUUUAAUACACAGGCAGAUGAAUAUGCUAUUGUGGUCUCAGCACAUCCUAUUUUCAACAAGACAUUUUUCAUUCUUAAAACAAAGUGAAUUAUCGAGGAGUAGGUAGGUGAUGAUAGUCAUGUUGAUUUAGGAUUAAUUGGAUUAAAAAUCAAUUGGACACCUAUUUCUAAGGAGCAAUGAUGAUUGCAGUAUUAAUGAUUUGGAAGGUAUAUUUUUUAAAAGAUAAGUUAUACAUUCUCCCCUUGACCCUGUCCUGAUCUAUAUUUAUGUUAAUAAUUAUAAUGACGCCAUAAAUAUAUUCAUCAAAUUUUUUAAUACUAACCUGAGAUUCAUUUAACAUGUAAGUAUAUGAACUAGUUUCUAUCAUCUCAUUGUCUUUCUCCAAAAAUCAUUUCUCUUUCAUUUUUUUUAUCUAAAGCACAGAAAAGCAUUAACCCUAAGAGAAAAAAAAUCAAUAGACUAUCAAAAUUUAGAACUUCUACUUAUGCCACAGAAUAGAAAAUAUUUGUAAAACUUGCAGCUGACAAAAGAGUGAUAUCAAAGAUUUAUAAAGAAUUCCUACAACUCAGUAAUAGAUUUUUUGUGUUGUUCAUAGCCUUUUUCAAAUUGAGAAAGCAUCUUAUUCCUUUUUUUGAUGAGAGUUUUUAAUCACAAAUAGGGAUUGAAAUUUGUCCAAUGCUUUUUAAAAAAAAAAUUGUAGUUGUAGAUGGACAGAAUGCCUUUAUUUUUUAUGUGGUGCUAAGGCAAGUGCUCUGCUGCUGCACCACAUGCCCAGCCCCACUCAAAUGCUUUUUAUGUAUUGAAAUUACCACAGGUUUUCCCCUUUGUUCUGUUGAUAUGCAGAAUUUUUUUGAUUGACUUUCCAAUAUUAAAUUAAUCUCUGAUUCCUGUGAUGAACAUUGGUUUUGAUAUUUACUUUCUGCUUUUUAAUUACUAGAAUUGACUUUCUCAUAUUUUGUUAAAUAUCUUUGCAUCUGUAUUCACGAGUAAUCGUGGUCUGUAAUUUUAUUUCUUUCUUAUUUUUGUUUUGUCUGUUAGGUUUUGCUAUUAGUAUUAUACUGGCCUCAGAAAUCAGAAAAUAUUCCCUCUAGCUUAGUUUUUUGGAAGUGUUUUGAUAAAACUCACCAGUGAACCAUCUAAGUCUAGAGUUUUUCUGUAUUUUGAGGGCAGCUUUUUUUUUUAAAUAACAUAUUUGUUUUUUUUAAUAGGCAUUCAGAUUUCUUGUCAUCUUGUGGUAGUUUUAAAAUAUCUUUUUUUUAAUGUCUAUUUCACUUAAGUUAUUUUUGGCAUACAGUUGUUUAUUCUGACUUUUUACUUAGAUGUCUCUCCCAACAAGAGAAAACAAACCUCUCUGAGGCAGAGAUGAUUAUAUUCUUGACAUUUGUAUAAUACUCUACACUAAAAACAAAUGAUGAAACUGAUUCCUAGCUUUAUCUCAUUUUUUUCUAUUUUUAAAAUUCUUGAUAUACUUGUAUAUUUGUUAUCUUGUAUAUAUUUUUAGGAGUUCCUUCUGAUAUUGUGAAGAAGAGUUUAUUUUUAAUUCCAUGAAACAUCUUUUUGAUGUGCAUAAAUCCCUUUAAAUUUAGUAUUCUUUUCAUUGAAAUAGGAUCUUUAAAAAUGAUGUAUACUAGUAUUCUCUUUGCUACUCUUAGAUAUUAUUUACUCCUAAGUGUGAUUUAAUCUGUUUUCAUUCUAAUUUUGAAAUUCCAUUUUUUCAGUAGAGGACCCUACUUACUUCCCAGCAGUAUUAUAUUUUAAAAUAUUACCAUGCUAUUAGAAAAUUCACUAUAUUGCAGGAUGAUCAAGUAAGCAAUAUAUUUUGGUCUAAAUCUUUUGUUUAGAAAUAUUGUUAAGCAGCAUUACAAAUAUAAAGAAAAGUGACACACACAAUAGAUUUUUGGUUUUGAAAGGCUGACAUUACUGAUCUAUAAAAAUGGACAAUCCUGAUAUUUCCUCACUCAGUUUUGCUUGGAAAUUUUAGCUAAUACCAAGAGAAUAAUUUCUAAGCUCCAAAUUUUCAUAUAUACCACUUAUUCUAUGAAGAUUUUUUAUGUUAAUUGAUAACUUAUUGUUCUGUACUCUUAUAGUAUGUGGUAUACAUUUUUAUUAUAGCAUGUUUUACCUUGUAUUGUAACUAUUUGUUCAUCAUUCCUGGAAGAGUGUAUUGCUUGAGGCCAAGAACCAUAUGUGUUUAUUUAUUUGUUUUUAAUGUAAGUGCUAAGCAUGGUAUCUGUUGGAUAAACACCCUAUAUAUUUUUAUAAAAUCAGUGAAUACAAAUUUAAUACAAUAAGUUGUUGUAUUGAUUGUUAUUAAGGGUAUUCUUUUCCUCUCAAACAGCGUGCAGUUAAAAAAUUUAUUAUGCUAACAUCCAGCCAAAAUGUACCAGUGUUCCUUAUUGAUCCUUUGAUUCUGGAACUGAUUAGUAAAAACUUUGAACAAAUCAAAAAUACUUCUCAUGGCUCCACUUCAGAAUGCAAGUUUUUCUGUGUUCCGAGAGAAUUUACUGCAUUUGCACUACAGUAUCACCUGUGGAAGAAUGAAGUAAGUUGAUUGCUUUUAGAUAAUAUAAUAUUUGUCUUUCAAAAUAGUAUGGAAUUACACAAGUUUAAAAUGUAAAACACCUAAAAUAAUUCUUAAAACUUUGUAUAAAUUAUAUGAGGAGCUGGGCACAGUGGCACACACCUAUAAUCUCAGCAACUCGGAAGGCUGGGGCAGGAAGCUUAAGACCAAUCUAGGCAAUUUACUGAGACCAUGUCUCAAAGUAAAAAAUAAAAAGGACUGGGAUAUAGUUCAGUGUUAAAGCACCCCCUGGGCUUAAUCCCCAGUACCAAAAAUAUGAUAAAUUGCAUCAGGAAUAUUUGCAGCUAUGAGUAACAGAAUAUAAUUAAUAAUGGCUAAUGCAUAUAGUGCAUUUAUUUUUCUUGAAUAACAAGAGGUAAAAGGUUGGUGGCUGUAGUUAGUUCCACUGCCUACUGAUGUCAGGGCUAAGUGUCUUUCUUCCUUUUCCUCGUCAUUACAAGAUUGGUCUUACAGUUCCAGCUAUCGUGUCCAUGUUCAAAACAGAUGAGAAGAAGGAAUGGUAAUGCCAAUUUUUGAAGAAAAAUAUUUUGAAGAAGCUUAUGAUAAACUACUUUUUAUAUCUCACUGUCCAGAACUGUAAUCACAUGUCACCUAAUGGUGAGAGAGGCCUAAAAUGCAGGUAUUUAAUAUCUCCAUUAGUGUAGGGCAAGUAGGAAGAGAUUUAGUGAUGAAUUUUUAGUACAUAUUAUAUAAGGUGGACAAGACUAUAUUCUUUCCGUUUUGUAAGUGUGCAGUACUUGUUUGAUUCUCAAGUGAAAUACUUUUUAAAUGUGCCCAAAACUAUGAAUUUAAUCUGCUUUAUGGUUAUCAAAGUUAAAGUCAGAUAGCAGUCAGCAAAAAAAAAAAAACAGGAAGUGUCUCAAAAUUUUGCUUACUUCUUAACAUAGUUUGGAUAUGGUUUAUAAGUGUUUUCCAGAGAUUCAUGUUUUGAAAGCUUGAUCUCCAGAGUAUUGAUUAGGAGGUGGGGAACUUUUGAGUGGGUAGGCCUAAUUGGGGGUGAUUGAGUAUCUUGCCCCCAGAAGGGAUUAGGUAGUUCUUGCAAGACCCUAAAUCAGUUUUUACGAGAACGUUGUAAUAAAAAGGGCAAGCCUGGCCCCACCUAGCUUUCUGUCUUCCUGUUUUAAAAUAUUUUCUCUUCUUCACAUACACACUCUUGUCUUUUACCAUGGGGUCUUUGUCAGAACCAGAGCUAUGCUGUUUUGACUUCCAACUCCCAUAAUUAUAAGUUAAAUAAAAACCUCUUUCCUUUGUAAAGUCAGCCUGCAUCAGGCAUUUUAUUAUGGUAAUGCAAAAUAGACUGAUAUAACUUCUAAGUUCCAGAUUUCUUUAUUUUUCAUUCCUAGGAAUUAUGCAAAUAAGAAAAUGAGCAUCAGAUUAAAUGAACAUAACUAGUCAGCCACAAUGGGAUAUGUUUUAGUUGUUUUGACCCCUGGUAGGCAGGGCUUACUUUCCAGAGUGAUAGGGAUAUCUGGGAAAACACUAUAAGCUGCACAGACCCUUGAUUACCUCAAACUCUUGCACAGAGCAGCAUCAAGAGAAUGAACUGUGUUUUCUGGCCUCUGGUUUUUUCCAGGCAAUGAUGUAAGUGUUAAACAGAUAAAUACAUCAUUUUUGUUUGCUUAUUUUUUCUUAUUUUAUAUUUUGAAAGUGUUUAAACUUAUGGAAAAGUUAAAAUGUGAUAUUUUAAAUUCAGUUUUUAUUUUUAAGCAAAAUAAUGCUAGUACUAAUUUAAAAAGUGAAAUAGUAGUGGAGGUGUAGUGGUUCAUGCCUGUAAUAACAGUGACUCGAGAGGCUGAGACAGAUGGAUUCCAAGUUCAAGGACAGCCUGUCUGAAAAUAAAAAAUAAAAAUGGCACUCAUUGGUAGUGUACCCCUGGGUUCAAUCCUCAGUUUUAAAAAAAGAAAAAAAAAUCACUUAAUACAAAGCUCUUGAUUAAAAAAAAAAAAAGGAGCUUCUCUUAUUCCUACUCUUAGAGCCAACCACUUUGACUUUUUCUACCCUGUUUAUCUUCUCAUUUAUAAAUGUUUACAUUUAUCUUAUUAAUAUUUCAUUUAGAUGAUGAGUUAUAAAGUUUUAAGAGUUUAGCUCUUGUAUUUACUCUUUCAUAUAUAUAUAUAUAUAUUUGGGUGGGAUUCAGCUGGACGAUUAUAGUCUCAUCUAAGCUCACUCAUGUAACUGCUUCAGGAUAGCUGGCUGUCAAAUGGGGCAGUGGAGGUGCCAGAACAAUGUGUCUUUCAUGAACCAGACUAGUUCAGGCUUAUUCACAAAGCAGUAAGAAAGCAAAAGCAUGCAAGGUCUCUUGACAUUGUUUAAACAUUGGGAUUUCUCAUUCAUGAACAUUAAGUAUAUCUCCUUUAGUUCUCCUUUCAUUCUCUUUAAUAGAAUAUUAUAAUUUUCUUAGAGAUUUUGCUCAUUUUUGGAUAAUUUAUUUUUCGCUACCUUGUAGUUUUUAAUUGGGGAUCAGGGAUACAGGUAAGAUAUUUUUCUGUUUCUUUUUCCAGUUCAUUAUUAUAGGUGUAUGAGACUGCUGUUGACUUUUGUAUUUUGUUUCCAGAUCUUGUUUUCUAGCUACUGUACUGAACUCUGUAGGUACACUUCAGUGGUUUAUUCGUUUUCUUUCUUUCUCUCCAUAAAGACUGAUCAGAUAAGUAUAUUGUUUACAAAAAAAGACAAUUCGGUCUUUUUCUCUUAAACUUACUUAGGUAGGAUCUCUAGCAAUUGUGUUGAAAACGUGUUCUUUCUGAACUUUUUUUAUAUGGAUGAUGGACUUGCAGAAUUGAUCCUCCAAUUUUCUUAUCUUUGCUUGUGAUUUUCUCCCUUUUUCCAGCUGUUCUAUUUUUUAACAAAAUCUUUAAUUGUGCCAUUGAUUUUUGUCAUAUUUUUAUUUAUUCUUUUUAGAUAUACAUGACAGAGUGUAUUUUGACAUAUUUUACACACAUGGAAUAUAACUUCUCAUUCUUGUGCUUGUACAUGAUGUGGAGUUACAUUGGUUGUGUAUUCAUGUAUGCACAUAAGAAAGUUAUGACCAGUUCAUUCUACUGUCUUUCCUAUGCCUGUCCCCUCUCUCUUCUCUUCAUUCCCCUUUGUCUAACCUAGGGAACUUCUAUUCCCCCUCGCUUAUUGUGUGUUAGAUCCACGAGUGAACAUUUGGCCUUUGGUUUUUUGGGAUUGGUUUAUUUCACUUAACAGGAUAGCCUUUAGUUCCAUCUAUUUACAGAAAAAUGACAUAAUUUCAUUCUUCUUUAUGGCUGAGUAAUAUUUCAUGGUGCAUAUAUACCACAUUUUAUUUAUCCAUUCUUCUAUUGAAGAGUACCUAGUUUGGCGCCAUAGCUUAGCUAUUGUGAAUUGAGCUAAUAUAAAUAUUUUUGUGGCUGUGAUACUUUAGUAUGCUAAUUUUAAGCCCUUUGGGUAUAUGCUGAGGAAUAGGAUAGCAGGGUCAAAUGGUGGUUCCAUUCCAAAUUUUCUGAGAAAUCACCAUACUGCUUUCCAGAGUGGUUGCACCAAUUUUCAGUCCCACUAGCAAUGUAUGAGUGUACCUUUUUCCCCACAUCCUUGCCAACAUUUAUUUUUACUUGUAUUCUUGAUAAUUACCAUUCUGACUGGAGUGAGAUGAAGUCUCAGUGUAGUUUUAAUUUUCAUAUCUCUAAUUGUUAGUGGUGUUGAACAUUUUUUAUAUAAUUUUUGUAUUUUGUCAUAUUUUUGUUUGAAAUUUGCAUAUUUUCUAAAAGCUUCUUAUGCUCUGUUCCUUAAUGUGUUAUUCUGUUUUUGCUUCAGGGAUACAGUUUAAUCUUUAAAAUGCCCUGUACAUUUUAAAGGUUUACUUCUAAAAUGUUUUUUGAUCUUUACUGCAUUUUGUUUUGCUAAAUCCCUUCUUUGUUUUCUGGUAUUUUUAUCUUAUUUUGUUUGUGUUUUUUAUGAUAUAGAUUUUAUAUAAUUGUUGAUCUUUGUUCAUAUUUAAGAAUAAGAAACUUUAAUUCUAUUGGAUUUUUUUUUUAAUGGUCAGGUCUCAUUAACUGUUUGACUACACUAUAGAGCAUGCUUGUUUUUUCAUUGGAGAAACUCCUAAAUGUCAGUUUUUGUAGAUCAUUUCUAUGGGCUAUUUGAUUCUUCUCAUAAAAAGGCCUUACAAGGCUUAGAAGCCAGUACAGAGUAUUCUAUAUUUAUUUUCCUAAAACAAAAUUUGUAGAAAUUACAAGCUUCCAAUACACAUAAUCUCCCAAAUCAAUCUAAUGCCUUAACUAUAAUAUAAUAUAAAAAUUAAAAGAACUAGUGUAUGUUUUAUUGUGUAAAUACUCAACCAUGACUACAUUGGAAAACAUAAUAAAACAAUUCAGAUGCUUGUAUUUAUAAGUAGGGUCACAGACUCCACAAAUUCUUACUUUUAAUGUUGUUAGUAGUCUCAUUUUACAAAGCAGUGAACAAAAAUUUCCAACAACAAAAAAUAAAAUUGUAUCUUCACUAGUAUGGCUAUUGUAUUGUUGAGAAAUUAGGGCUCAGAUAAUUGUAAACAUGUUUUUCACUCUGUGAUCAUCUUAAUAGGAUAUUUGAAAUUAUAUAGGACAAAGGAUAGAUUUUCAUAUUUUAGAUUAUAGAAUGUCUAGUGGUUCUGAUGUAGACUUCUAAAUGACAAUUUUCCAUUAUGAUAAACCAUGAAUAUGCCCACAAAUUUCAAAAAUAUCUGAUACCUUCAGAACUACUGCUUUGGAAGAAAAGAAAUCUUCUCCAGCUGGCAAAACUGAUAAGACUAGAGUCAGUGGAAGAAGCAAAAGGUCAGCUAUGCAGAAUAUAAGCAUACUUGUUCCAAGUUUAUCCUUUUAUGUAGAUGACAUACAGACCCCUUGGAUAGUCCUCCCUAAAACUUCCCCCAAAGUGGAGCUAACUGUGGACUUCAUUUUGCAUGUGAUUUUUUUCUUUACUAAUAUCAUCACCAAGUGAGCAAACAGCUUCCAAGGCAAAUGGAAGUUUUGUGUUGAACAGUCUUGACUGAGGCCUUUACUCUGCUUGGUCAAAAUGAUUACUUUAUUCUUGACUUUUCUUUCUCAUUGUUAUAAAAAGGCAACCCUUAUAGUUCUGCCUAGUUUGUCAGUCUUCCUCUCUUCCCUCAAUCGUGGUCAGAUUUCUCUUAAGAUCUAGCUGACCUAUUUAAUUUUUCCUGAAUUUAUCAACUCAUAAUGCUUUUCUUUCAUCUAUACCGUAGUGCUUUUCUUUGAAUUGGCAAUACUCACCCUCAGUCAGUAUUUUCCAAAUUUUAGGGGUACCAAGAAAGAAAAGGAGUUCUGUAGUUGAUAAUUAUAAUUAAUAAAGGAAAAUCAGGUGAAAUUGCAUCUUGGAGUUCUUUUCUUUCAUAUAUGGAGAUGUAAGAAGAAUAUGGAAGAUUCUUUGGGAUAUUGUGAGGCCAGUCCUGGAAGUGAUGUAUGAUACUUGUGUCUACAUUCUUUUGACCAGAAUACAAGUUAGCUCUAUAUAGAUAAAUGGCAGGACACGUUUUCUUGUUACUAGUUAAUAUUCUGUACCAAACUUAUCAUCUUCUCUCAAUUAACAAUAUAAACAACAAUAAAAUAUCUUUUGACUACCUUCUGGAUUCUAGAUAUGUUGAUUCAUGUAUUAGAGGAAAUUGAGUCUAUUAAUGGUGUUUAAUCAUUGAAAGAAACAAUUAAAUGACAUUACAAUAAAUAGUACAAUACAGGUGUAUUUAAUGAGAGCAUAGAUGAAGGUAGAACAAAUUCAAAUGACAACAUUGAAAAACCCAUAGAAAGUACUCUUGAAAAAUAUUUCUGAAUGCCGUGGUCAGUAAGACAAGCUUUAGGACACAGACCAUCAUCACAUACCUUAAUAUCUGGUAUUAAUUACUUCUUCAAGCUUUAUUUUUCUUGCAUAAUAGACUAUGUAUAAUACUAUCUUCCUUGCUGAUCUUACAUGGUUUCUGUAGAUAUCAAAUGAGAUGAUGAAUUGAACAAACUUUGUACACAUUGUAUAAACCAGAGAGGUAAUGUUAUAGUUGAAAGGAAUUUGGAUUUUUUUGGAUAAGACCUUGGUGCUUUUAGUGGCUUUGAGCCAUAUUAGUUAUGUUUCUUUAGACAGGAAAACUGCUGUGAGUCUAUCUAUUAUGUAUUACAACUUAAUGAGACCCCUGUCUCUAAAUUAGAAAAAAUAUUUUAAAAGGGGAUGUGGCUCAGUGAUUUAGCACCCCUUAGUUCAAUCCUCAGUACCAAAAAAAAAAAAAAAAAAUAUUAUACUCUAAAGAUGUUGAAAAAUGUACAGAAUGUUUCAGUCUGUUUUCUAAAGAUUUGCAUUAGGUUGGGUUUUAUUGUAACAUUUUAAACUGUUAAGAUAUAAGAAUUGCAAGUUUAAUUUUAUGCUGUACUAAUAUUAAUGUUAACUAACCAUAGAACACUAAAAUGAGCAUUCUCAUUCCAAAGAAGAAAUACGUAUUAAUUUUCAUAGAGUUCUUAUAUAUAACUUCUAUGCUACAUAUUUUCUUCUUUAUUCUAUUCUGUUCAACCCCCUCAUUUCUAAAUCUUCUGGCAGUGAGUAGAUUAGUACAAAAAUAUGACUUAACUCAGUGUAAUAGUCAUUAGUGCUACUAAUAUUUUGUUUUAAAUAUUCAAGUUUGAUGUUUAUUCAAUUCCAAUAGGAAGGCUGGUUUCGGAUAGCUGAAAAUAUGGGAUUUCAAUGCCUAAAGAUUGAAAGCAAAGAUCCUCGGCUAGAUGGGAUAGACUCACUUUCUGGAACUGAAAUCCCCCUGCACUAUAUCUGCAGAUUGGCCACUCAUGCCAUCCAUUUGGUGGUCUUUCAUGAAAGAAGUGGCAACUACCUCUGGCAUGGCCAUCUACGACUCAAAGGACACAUUGACAAGAAAUUUGUUCCUUUUCGAAAGUUACAGUUUGGUCGUUAUCCUGGUGCUUUUGACAGGUAAGUUUAGAG
rnacentral:lncRNA from 1 species